CUGUACAGUAUGUGUGUUGGGGGUGUGUCCAUCUGGAAAGUGACAGCGUCGUGUGUUUGUAGCCAAUCACAGCGGGAGGCUAACUCCUAUAAUAUGGGUCUUCUAUCCUCUCAAACCAACACGUCAGGAAAGCAUUACCUUUAGGUUCACUUUCUCAUGAGAUUUAUAAAGCUGCAUCAUGACUGAUGGACAAACAGAGUUUCAGCACUUAUUUUACAAUAUCUUUAUUUCAUUUUAUCGAACAGACUGGACAACUAAUUGUACAUCGUGAUAUGUGAUCUUGGACGGAUGUACAAUAGUAAAACUCAGGUUCUUCAUUUUAAACAUGCCAUAUAGACAUCUGAAAUAAAUAGAACUGUAAUAAUGCCAGACGUUGGUAUGUACCAAUGUGUUGUUAGGCAGAGUUACAAUGCUUAGUUCCAGACCUGUAUAUAUGGGGACAGAGCAACAGGCUGAUGUAGAACUCAGAGUGACAUGGUGGGUGACAUCAUAGACCAUGGGAGUCAGCAAGCACUCCAAAUGAUAGUUCUAGAAUAGGUGGAAUAGUUUUAGGACCAGUUUCCCCAGACACAGAUUAAGCCUAGUGCUGGAUUCUAAAUCAUGCUGAAUGGAGAAUCUCCAUGGAGUCCAAGACUAGGCGUAAAAGAUGCACUGUGCAGAUAUCGCACCGCCAUUUCCUGGUUGCUUGAAUUCGAAUUUCAACUUGUGAGAAAGCAAGCAUGUAUAGUGUAGAGAAUCAUUGUAGCAUCUAAACUGCUGUGAAAUAUAUUGUCCAAUAACCAAAAACAUUGUAUUUUCAGCUGAUUUGAAGCUGGUGUACAAAACCCAAAGUAAAAGACCCCAAAAAACAAAACUAUAAAACAGGAAGCAUAGAAAAAUAACAGAUCUACCACCUUCUUAGACUUGCUUUCAAUGAAAAUAACAGAUCUAUAACAUAUCUAUGUGAAUUUGGUCAGGUCACCCAAAAAGCUACACAUUGCAGCUCUAAUCUGUGUCUGGGAAACUGGCCUUAAGGCUUUUCAUUUAAGGCUGUGAUAGGAGAGGGGCACUAUUAACCCCAGAUGAAGAUAGACAGGCUGUGAGGAGAGGGGCACUAUUAACCCCAGAUGAAGAUAGACAGGCUGUGAGGAGAGGGGCACUAUUAACCCCCAGAUGAAGAUAGACAGUCAGAAUGGGGGAUGGAAGAUACACCACAAAUGAAUAUCAACGACAGAAACCAGGAAGAGGCAUGUCAUUCUGAGAUGAGGUUCUCUAUUACAAACGUUUCAUCGACAGGACAGGAGCCAACGUGACAAAAUGGCCACCAAUAGCGAUUUGCAUAUUAGUCAAAGACGAGCAUUUUUAGCCUGAUUAAAACUAGACUGAGCACUCCCCUCAUGGUGAACACAGCAUUCAGUCUGGUUUAACCAGGCUAGGAUAUAGUCUAGAAAAAGGGAUAAGCGUGACCCACUGUUAGAUAGCUCUAGGGUGAGGUUUCCCCUAGGUACAGAUCUAGGAUCAGCUUCCCCUCCCCAAUCCUAAC